GAUGAACGCUGACAGAAUGCUUAACACAUGCAAGUCUUUGGCGAAGCUGUGCUUGCACAGCCUAGCCAAGGCGGACGGGUGAGUAACGCGUAAGGAACUUGCCCUGCAGUCAGGGAUAACAGACGGAAACGACUGAUAAGACCUGGUAAAGUCAGGCGGACUCAUGUCCAGCCUGAUGAAAAGAGAUGCUGCAGGAGAGCCUUGCGUCCUAUUAGCUUGUUGGUGGGGUAACGGCCCACCAAGGCGAUGAUAGGUAGCCGGCCUGAGAGGGUGGACGGCCACAAGGGGACUGAGAUACGGCCCUGACUCCUACGGGAGGCAGCAGUGGGGAAUAUUGGACAAUGGGGGCAACCCUGAUCCAGCAAUUCUGUGUGCACGAUGAAGGUUUUCGGAGUGUAAAGUGCUUUCAGCAGGGAAGAAAAAAAUGACGGUACCUGCAGAAGAAGCGACGGCUAAAUACGUG
rnacentral:rRNA from 1 species